AAUGAACGCUGGCGGCAGGCCUAACACAUGCAAGUCGAACGGAUCCUUCGGGAUUAGUGGCGGACGGGUGAGUAACGCGUGGGAACAUACCCAAAGGUACGGAAUAGCCUCGGGAAACUGGGAGUAAUACCGUAUGUGCUCGAAAGAGGAAAGAUUUAUCGCCUUUGGAUUGGCCCGCGUUGGAUUAGGUAGUUGGUGGGGUAAUGGCCUACCAAGCCGACGAUCCAUAGCUGGUUUGAGAGGAUGAUCAGCCACACUGGGACUGAGACACGGCCCAGACUCCUACGGGAGGCAGCAGUGGGGAAUCUUAGACAAUGGGGGAAACUCUGAUCUAGCCAUGCCGCGUGACCGAUGAAGGCCUUAGGGUUGUAAAGAUCUUUCAGGUGGGAAGAUAAUGACUGUACCACCAGAAGAAGCCCCGGCUAACUCCGUGCCAGCAGCCGCCGUAA
rnacentral:rRNA from 1 species